rnacentral:lncRNA from 1 species
CCUCAAAUUCUCAAUACUUGAGAACAUGUGUCAUCAUCUUAUUAAUCUCUUGGAUGAUUAAUGGAUACAUAACAUCAAUAAAAAAAAUAAUCUAAUUUAAUUGAUUUCAAUAAUUUAAAUAUAAUAUUAUACUUCUAGAAAGUUUAUAUGUGUUAGCCUAAUGGGCUUCUAGAGCAUACAUCUAACAGCAUCUCUUCAUCCG